UGAUGGGAAGCCAGAAGACAGAAUGCCUUUCCUAAGGGGAAAGAAAAAUUUAAACACCUAUUGCUGGCUUUGAAAAUGGAAGAAGAAUGCCCUGAUUGAAGGAAUGUAGUGGCCUUUAGCAGUUGGCAAGAUGGCCUGAGAAUUCAGGGAGCCACUGAUGCAUUCUGGAGUCUGAAGGCCAGAGAACCUGGAGUUCUAACAUCCAGGGGCAGGAGAAGAAAGAUGUUCCAACUACAGGAGAGUGAAUUCAUGUUUCUUCUGCCGUUUUGUUCUGUUCAGGCCCCUACUCAAUUGGACAGUGCCUGCCCACAGUGAGGGUGGAUCUUCACUCAGUCCACAGACUCUCACACCAAUCUCCUCUGGAAACACCCUCACAGACACAUGUAGAAGUAAUGCCUCACCAGCUCUCCAGAGCUCUCCAGGUAUCCCUUAAUCCAGUCAAGUUGACUUCUAAAAUUAACCAUCACGAUAAUUCAGUGGCUUUUAGUACAUUCAUAGGAUUGUGAAGCCAUCGUGACUACCUCAUUCCAGAACAUUCCAAUCACCUCCCAAAAGAAACUCUACCUAUUAAUGGGCACUCCCCAUUAUCUCUCCCUCCAAACCCUGGCAACCAUAUAUCUACUUUCUGUGUCUAUUGAUUUUCCUAUUCUGAAUGUUUUAUAUGAAUGGGAUUAUAUAGUAUGUGACAUUUUAUGUCUGGUUUCUCUCACUUAAUGUUUCAAGGUUCAUGCAUGUUGGAGCAUAUAUCAGUACUUCUUUAUCUUAAUAGUUCAUUAUAGGUCAACGUAGGUACAUAUUACAUAUUGUUUAUUCAUUCUCUUCAUGGACAUGGGUCACUUCUAUUUUGGGGACUAUUCUGAAUAUUGCUGUUAUGAAUAUUAAUAUACAGUAUCUGUCUGAAUCCCUGUUUUAAAUUCUUUUGGAUAUAUACCUGAGAGUGGAAUUGCUGGAUCAUAUGAUAAUUCUAUGUUUAACAUUUUGGGAGACCAACAAACUGCUUUCUACAGCUGUACCAUUUUACAUUCCUACCAGCAAUGUGCAGAGAUUCUAAUUUUGUCACAAUAUUUCCAACAUGUAUUAUUAUUAAUAUUAUUAUUGCUAUUCUAAUGGA